rfam:Anopheles funestus strain FTMOZ unplaced genomic scaffold supercont1.1156, whole genome shotgun sequence.
AAAACGGUCCUUUUCAGGACCACCAUUCGCUUCACAAAGAGUUGUUU